ensembl:lncRNA LINC02866 long intergenic non-protein coding RNA 2866
AUCUAUAUUACUUAUUUACUUCUGUGUGUUGAGCCCAAAUCUGCCAACAUGUGACUUCCAUCCUUUGAUCUCAUUUUCUGGGAGCAACACAAAAAAAAUGUGGCUUCCUUGAAAGUUCUUCAUGUAUUUAAAGAUCACUCUCAAGCCUGCAGUCAACCUGGAGUAGGCAGAUGAAGCAGCUGGGGAAAAGACCUCUUGACCUACCAACAAACAGUCACUGACACUGUCAAGUUCAGAGGUGGUGAGAGACACAGAUUGCAGGUAUCUUUGUAAGUUCCAAUUCGUCCCCCACACCAGGUUCAGCUUGUCUUUACUCUCCCCUGAGUCACUUCGAGUUUGGUUCUACUGAUCUACAGGAAGCUUCUUCCCACCACUGAAUUCAAGGGACAGUCUUCCCAUAUGUCUUUACCAGCUCUCGCAAAUGAAGACAGAGCCUGUCUAUGUCAUUCAGACUGGCCUCAAACUCCAGGGCUCAACAAAGCCUCCUGCCUCAACUUCCCCAGUAGCUGGGACUACAGGUUUUAUCAUCUGAAAGAUUCCAGAGAAGCCCAGUGAUCCUGAAGGGUACUGGCAGCCACAGUAUCUGAAAUGCUGUGUCUGAGGACCAUCUUCCCCUGACAUUGCAGAAUACCUAGGACAGAGCAACUGUUUCCAGGCCUACUCUUAUCACAGUCUCCUUGGGGACUUUUAAAAAUCCAGGCCUUUGGACUUAAUGAUUCAGAGUUUCUGGGGCUGGACACCUGCUAGCUCCGUGCUUCAGUCACUCCCCAGCAAAUAUCUUCCACUGAGAUCGUGUGGUUUUAAUCAUACAAGGAGAGUGGCAGAAGAACAGAAAGAUUGAAACCAAGGACAGAGAACACCUGAAAUUGGAAUGGCUUCAAAUGUUCAGUGGAAGUGAACAAGUUCUUGUAUUGUUUUCUCCUAUUCUCCUUCCAGCUUCAGGGUCAUAUGUCACAGCGCUGGGCAUUUCAUUUGGGUAUCUAUCAUCAUUCCCAUUCUGCAAUGAGGAAAUGCUGUCAGAGUGAUUAAGUAAUUUGCCCAUGGUCUCACAUAGAAGCCUGUCUUCUCCAGGGAACACAGCACUCAGAAUCGUCUCGGCCCCUGCAUAAGCCUGCAUGAGCCUGGGCUCUGGGGACCCAUCCUGGUGCAUCAUUCGUUGGCUCUGUGACAAUGGGCACAUCGUUUAACCUCUCUUGGCUUCAUUCUCCUUACUGGAAUGAUGGAGAGAGUUUUGCCUAUUUCAGAGGCUUGCUCUUCUAUACGUGAGCCUAUAAGUAACUUGUCUUAAGAAUUUCCACUCCUUCUGUACUCUGAUUUAAAUUUGAAGGCAUCAAAACAAAAACAAUCAAGAUUUCA